GAUGAACGCUGGCGGCGUGCCUAACACAUGCAAGUCGAACGGAGAUUUAACGCUGAUGAAGCUUCGGCAGAUUCUUGUUAAAUCUUAGUGGCGGACGGGUGAGUAACGCGUGGGCAACCUGCCUCAUACUGGGGGAUAACAGCUGGAAACGACUGUUAAUACCGCAUAAGCGCACGGUAUCGCAUGAUACAGUGUGAAAAACUCCGGUGGUAUGAGAUGGGCCCGCGUCAGAUUAGCCAGUUGGCAGGGUAACGGCCUACCAAAGCGACGAUCUGUAGCCGGCCUGAGAGGGCGGACGGCCACAUUGGGACUGAGACACGGCCCAAACUCCUACGGGAGGCAGCAGUGGGGGAUAUUGCACAAUGGAGGAAACUCUGAUGCAGCGACGCCGCGUGAGUGAAGAAGUAUUUCGGUAUGUAAAGCUCUAUCAGCAGGGAAGAAAGACUCGUAAGAGAGAUGACGGUA
rnacentral:rRNA from 1 species